rnacentral:lncRNA from 1 species
GGCAAAGCCAUUACUGCUUAAAGUGGUAUGAUGCUGCCUCAAAAGUACAGUGCAAAGGUGACCUGAGAUAUUCUCUCAGAUUUUUUUUUUCAGGUUCUGUCUGUACAGUGGUUCCUCGGGUUAAGAACUUAAUUCGUUCCGGAGGUCGGUUCUUAACCUGAAACUGUUCUUAAGCUGAGGUACCACUUUAGCUAAUGGGGCCUCCCGCUGGCACCAUGCCGCCAGAGCACAAUUUCUGUUCUCAUCCUGAAGCAAAGUUCUUAACCCAAGGAACUAUUUCUGGGUUAGCGGAGUCUGUAACCUGAAGUAUCUGUAACCUGAGGUACCACUGUAAAUGGUUGGAAAUGUUCCCUCACACUUGGAGAAUAUUUGGCAAAAUGCCCCUCAGCUUCUCCACCCAUUAGUAGGAUGGGGAAGUUUUGAGCACAACUGUGCAUCUAGCCCAAUAUAUUUUAAAACGAUGGAAGGAAGCAAUGGACUUUCCCUCCUCCUCCUCCUCCUCUUCUUCUUCUUCUUCUUCUUCUUGUCCCCCUUUCUUUGCCUAUGAGUUCAUACUGGUGAAUGAAGGAAGUAACUAUAUACUAUAGUCCCAUUCAGUCAAGAUGCCUUUAAAAAAGUAUAUUAAAUUUUCUGAUAAUUUUCUUUUUCAACACCCUUCUCUACACAGCUGAAGAAUUCUGCUCCUACCCCAAGAACAUUUGCUAAAAUGGCUACCUCUAUUUUGCCUCCUGCAAACAAGGAGAAUAAUUUUAGGAGGCCAUCAUGUCUGCAUAAUGCACUUUUACAGCUAUGCAGCAACACAGCAGGGCCCCUAAGGUGCGGGGGGGGGAGAGAACCACACAGAAUAAAUAUACUCUGGGCACUAAAUACACUCUGAAUUUGUGACACUUGUCCAGCCAUGAUUGCUAUUUUACAUGCUUACAAAAGCAAUAGACACACACUUGUUUAAACAGAAAAUCUGUAUAAAUAAACUACCAGCAACAACAAUAUCUUUUUACAUUUCCUUAGACGAUUUGAAAGCGGGCACUUUGCAGCCAGCUGCUCAAGCAAUUUCAUUAGUCCAAUGUAUCAUGCCAAAGCUUCUGAAAGGGCACAUCUUGGAAAGAGGCAGAUCCUUCCCACUGGUGCAAGCCUGAGAGCACAUUAAUGCAUUAUGUCAUUUGCAAUUGGAUUUUGCACUUAAGGCUGAUGAAGAAAGCUCCUCCAGACCUAUAGGACUUAAGUCAUUAAGUAGAACUUCUAGGUGUGCGAAUGAAAUAAAAGAAACCCUGAUGCAUUUUGGCAUGGAAUAUUAAAGCCUAUCAGAGCGGUUUCUUUGAGGGCUGUGCAACUGGAACAUUACCUGAUUAAAAGCAGGUUGAACCACCUGCCGCCAUUUCCUUUCCUUUUUUUUUUUUAAAGCAAUUUAUUGGAUUUUACAAUAGGAAUAAAUGUAAUAAACAAUAUAACAUUCGUCUUAACAUAAUUUCACAUUUUCUUUGGACUUCCUCACAUCUCCCGCUCCCACCUUCAUCAUUAUAACAUUUUGUCAGCAAUUUAUCAUCUUAUUUAAGUUCUUAUAUCUCUUCGAUAUUUCAUAAUCUUAAAGUUCUCAUAAAGAGUUAAACUUUCACAGUUUUUCUUAUUUUCUUAAAAACUUCUAAGUUAAGUGGUGCUCAGUUAUUUAGUCUAGCAUCUUAUUCAGCAUUCAGUCAAAUCACAAUGCUUUUGUAGAUAGUUCUUAAAUUUCUUCCAAUCCUCCUCGAUUCUCUCUUCUCCCAGGUCACGGAUUCUGCCAGUCAUUUCAGCCAGUUGCAUAUAGUCUAUCAGUUGCAUCUGCCAUUCUUCCAGUGUGGGUAGAUCUUGAGUUUUCCAAUGUUUUGCUAGUAGUAUCCUUGCUGCUGUUGUUGCAUACAUAAAAAAUGUCUGGUCCUUCUUUGCCACCCCUUGGCUGACAAUACCCAAAAGGAAAGCCUCUGGUUUCUUAGUGAAAGUAUAUUUAAAUACCUUUUUCAAUUCAUUAUAAAUCAUUUCCCAGAACGCCUUCACUUUAGGGCAGGUCCACCAGAGGUGAAAGAACGUUCCUUCACACUCUUUACAUUUCCAGCACUUGUUAUCAGACAGGUGGUAAAUUUUUGCGAGUUUGACUGGGGUCAUAUACCAUCUAUAAAUCAUUUUCAUUACAUUUUCUUUCAAAGCAUUACAUGCAGUAAAUUUCAAUCCAUUACUCCACAGCCUUUCCCAGUCCUCAAACAUAAUAUUAUGCCCAAUAUCCUGUGCCCACCUUAUCAUAGCCGAUUUAACCAUUUCAUCUUGUGUAUUCCAUUCCAACAGCAAGUUAUACAUCCUUGAAAGUAUCUUAGUCUUUGGUUCUAACAAUUCUGUUUCUAAUUUCGAUUUCUCCACCUGGAACCCUAGUUUCUUAUCAUUUUUAAAAACUUCUUUAAUCUGAGCAUAAUGUAACCAAUCUCGCACUUUGUCUUUCAUUUUCUCCAAACUCUGCAAUUUCCAAUUGUCUCCAUCUUUUUCUAGUAUUUCCCAAUAUUUUGGCCAUUUGGCCUCCAUAUUGGGUCUUUUUCGGGCCUUAGCUUCCAAAGGUGAAAGCCACCUUGGUGUUUUAUUUUCCAGCAAGUCUUUAUAUUUUGUCCAGACAUUAAACAGUGAUUUUCUAACAAUAUGGUUCUUAAAGGCCUUAUUUGCUUUAACUUUGUCAUACCAUAAAUAUGCAUGCCAUCCAAAAACAUUGUUAAACCCUUCCAAAUCUAACACAUCAGUGUCUUCAAGAAGUAGCCAAUCUUUUAGCCAGCAGAACGCUGCGGCUUCGUAAUACAACUUUAAGUCCGGCAGGGCAAAGCCCCUCUUUGUUUUGCAUCAGUUAGUAUCUUAAACUUAAUUCUGGGCUUUUUGCCCUGCCAGACAAACUUCGAAAUGUCUCUCUGCCACUUCUGAAAGCACUCCAUUUUGUCCAAAACCUGAAGUGUUUGAAAUAAAAACAACAUUCUUGGCAAUACAUUCAUCUUAAUCGCAGCAAUUCGGCCUAACAAAGAAAGUUUCAAUUUUGACCAACUGUCUAAGUCUCUCUUAAUUUCUGUCCAACAUUUUUCAUAGUUAUCCUUAAAUAGACUUAGAUUUUUUGCUGUUAUGUUUACCCCUAGGUAUUUUACUUUUCUAACCACAUUAAGUUCCGUCUCAUUCUGAAACCGUUCUGACUCUGUCUCAGUCAAAUUUUUUCCCAAAACCUUGGUUUUCUGUUUAUUUAAUUUAAAUCCCGCCACCCGACCAAAGUCAUUAAUCAAUUGUAAUACUCUUUUCGUACUAGGCUCUGGCUUCUGCAAGGUCAAAACCAGGUCAUCUGCAAAAGCUUUUAGUUUAUAUUGUUUCUGACCAACCUGAAUUCCUUCCACCAACUGGUCCCCUCUAAUCAUGUUCAAUAGCACUUCCAGAACCGAAAUAAAUAACAAAGGGGAGAUAGGGCAACCUUGUCGUGUCCCUUUUUCAAUUUUGAACUCUUCUGUAACCACAUUAUUAACUAUCAGUUUAGCUUUCUGUUCUGAAUAUAUCGCCUCAAUCCCAUUCUCAAAACCCCGUCCCACUCCCAUCUCUUUUAAGUUUCCCAUCAUAAAUUUCCAAGAAAUAUUAUCAAAGGCCUUCUCCGCAUCUAUAAAAAUUAAAACUGCUUUUGUAUUUAUGUCAGUUUGGAGAAGUUCCAAGAUAUCAAUAAUGUUCCUUGUGUUAGCAAACAGAUGUCUACCUGGGAGAAAACCGGCCUGGUCCUUAUGAAUUACUUCAUUUAAAACUUUUUAAAUCUACUUGCCAAAAUAUCUGCAAAUAUUUUGUAAUCCACAUUUAAAAGGGAGAUGGGACGGUAGUUCUUCAGUUGUGUCUUUUCAGCUUCUGACUUUGGUAUCAAUGUGAUAAACGCUUCCUUCCACGAAUCCGGUGCCCUCUUCCCCUCCAUAAUUUCAUUGCUAACCUCCAUCAAGGGUUGUAUCAAAUAGUCUUUUAGUGUCUUAUAAUACUUGGAGGUCAGCCCGUCUGGCCCUGGAGAUUUGCCAAGUUGCAUGUUCUGAAUAGCUUGUUCAAUCUCCUGUCGUGUUAUUUUAGAGUUCAGGGUUGUCCUAUUUUCUUGUGACAGUUUAGAUAAUCCAUUUUUGGCAAAAAUUGUUUAAUCUCGACUUCGUCUUGCGGCCCUUGGGUAUAUAGUUUUUAAAAUAUCUCUGGAAACACUUUCUAAUGUCCACUGGAUUCUGAAUGUUUCUUCCAUCGACCUCUAAAUUUGUAACCGUAUUUAAUCUUUGUCUUCUCUUCAACUGCCAAGAUAGCAGUUUUCCACAUUUAUUCGCCGACUCAAACGUUUUUGUUUCAUUAAUUUAAUCUUCCAUUCAAUUUCCUGAUUUAUCAAUUUAGAAUAUUGUGUUUGAUACAGUUUAAUUUCUCUCAGAGUUGGCUGUGACUUUGGAUUCACUCUUAAUUUCUUCUCUAAUUCUUUUAUUUUAUCCAAAAUCUUGUCUUUUUUCUCAUUUUGUGUUUUUUUCUUUACUACAUUCUGUUGUAUCAGGAAUCCCCUCAUGACAGCUUUGCUUGCGUCCCAGACGAUUCUUUUUCCACCGAAUUGUUCAUGUUUAUCUCGAAAUAGUCUUUCAAAACUUUUUGGGCCUUCUUGGUAAUUUCCUGAUCUCUAAACAAAUUGUCAUUCAUCUUCCAUCUAAAGGAUCCAGUUGGUAGUAGUGUCAUAUCCAUCUUUACUGCGUUGUGGUCAGAGCAGGUCUUUGGGCAGAUUUCCACUUUUCUAACCCUAGGUGCCAGGCCUCUAGAGAUCCAUAUUUGGUCGAUUCUUGUCCAGGUCAGUUGGGCUUCAGAAAAGAAUGUUCCUUCUCUACCUAGUGGGUUCUUUGUUCUCCAAAUGUCAAUCAAGUCCAUAUUGUCAGUCAUUUCAAAAAGGUUUUAGGUAGUCUGCCAUCUUUUGUGACAUUUUGACUUUGCGACUUGUCCAUGUUAGUUGACACGACCCCGUUCAUGUCUCCCAUCAUUAUGAUGUUGUUGUAAUCCAGAUGAUCCAGCAUUGUCCCCUGCAACUUCUUGUAAAAUUCCGAUUUCCCUUCAUUGGGCGCAUAGAUUCCUAAUAUCAGCAGUUUCUCUCCUUGAUAUUGUAUCUCAAUAGCCAAAAUCCUUCCAUGUUCAUCUUUAAAUAGAAAUUUAGGUGACAGGCUCUCUUUUGCAUAUAUCACCACUCCUCUCUUCUUCACUUUGUCCGACGAAAUAAAUUCCUGGCCCAAUCUUUUAUUUAUUAACACUUUUCUGUGGAGCCUCGUCACAUGUGUUUCUUGUAAACAAAUAAUGUCCAAUUGUUCUUUUUUAAUAUAUGAAAUAUUUUCUUCCUUUUCUCCGGAAUAUUGCAACCAUUAAUGUUCCAGCUCAACAGUUGCAGAGACAUCCUGGAUCUGUCUGGUUAUUUCUCCCGGGGUGGUGUCUUCUCUGGGUCUUCAAGCUCCCCAGGUGGAGGUAUUGACGCUGGCUUUGCCCCAGGCCCGGAAGGUAGUUCAAUUCCUUUAUGUAGGUCCUCUCCGUAUGUAGCCAGAAAUUUAUCUCUCUCUUCCAAUGUUCUAAUUUUGACCUUUCUCGCUCUAAAGGUAAAAGAUAAUCCUUGGGGAAAUUCCCACCUGAAUGGAAUUGCGUUGCUCCUUAGUAGUUUAGCAAGUUCAGAGUAGGCGGCUCUAAGGUCCAACAGUUGUCUUGGGAUAUCUUUAUAUAUCUCAAUUCUUCUAUCCAAAACCUCCAGUGACUUUUCGUAAUGUAGACCCAAAAUCUUAUCCCUUUCCUCCUUCGAUCUCAAUGUAAUCAAACAAUCCCUGGGCCUCUCCUUCUUUAUAAAUCUUCCAAGUCUGAAAGCUGACACAAUUUUAAAGUCCUUUUCUUCCAAAUUCCAGAACUUGGAAAGUUCUUUGGUCAAAAACUCAGUUAGAUUUCCUUCUUCUGCCUCUUGUAAUGAUCUAAUCCUCAAAUUAUUCUCACGAUUUCGCAGUUCUAUCAUAGAAAGAUAAGUCUGAUGUUCCCCAACUUGUUUAGUGAGUGGUCUUACCUCUUGCUCUAAAUUUUCCAAUUUUUGUCUGGUAUCCUCAGCCAAUUUUCGGUUUUCUACUGAGGCCUCCGUCAACUGUCCAAUUGCUUGUGUAUUCUGUCCCACCUGUGUAGUUAAUUUGUUUAGACAGUCUGUAUUUUUAUCAAUCUUUGCUGAUUGCGCAUCUACUUUCUUGUCCAAAGCUUCCAAUUUUUCAAAGAUUUUUCUAGCACAGAAACAGAUGAUCCUGAGGCCAUAUCUUCCAAUUGUAACUGCUCUGCUUCACCCUCUCCCUCUUUUGCCUGUGGCAAGUCAGCUUCUUCAAGUUGUACUUCUGAGGGCAAAGUAGGCACAGAUGAUCUACGUGUCUGCGAGGCUGAGGUUAGAGUUGUUAGAGUUGUUUGUCUAACUCUUCCUCUUCUUCUUGUACCACUCAUUCCAAUGUUAUCUAUCAGUCAAGGUCACACUGAGUUUUUCCCACAGGAAUAGAAAGGCCCAGAGCAAGCAAACAACAAGGGAAUCGAAAGUAAAUGUAUUUGUAAAGUCACUGUUUUAAUCCAAUCCUCUAGAGGGAGCUUAAGAUGUCUUUCAGAGUCUGAUUUAAUGUCCCAGAACCUUCCAAUAUAAGUAUUAAGCAGAGUUUAAAAGUAAUCACUUUGUUGCAGACAGUGCUUAUUUGUCUCCAAAAGAAUGUUUCAAAUUUAAAAGGUCUCAAUACCCUCAGAUUGUUGCAACUUCUAAUAUACAGUAUCCAAAUCAACACUGACAGCUCGCUCUUACAGUGCUCAAACAAUCCUGACUCUGGGUUUCACCUUCCAAUUUGUAAUCCAAUAAAAGGGGAAAGUCAAGUACAAAUAAAAGAUCCAAAUCUUUAACUUACUAGUUUUACUUUAAAUUGUAAGUUCCAUAGAUGCUUGGCUGUGUAGAGUUUAAAGUCUCUUUCUUUCAGCCUCCACUCCUCCGCCUUAGUUGCUUUUUUUCCAAGUUCAAUGGCAGCGGAAGACGGACUUCCUGUUUCCACGUCUCUCCGCUUUCAGCCAAAUUCAAGCCAAAUUAAACCUUCUCAUUUAAAAUUUGUAAUUCCAAGUGAUUCAGUCUUUACUCACGAGUAAGUUGUUUUCUUCCAGGUCCGAAUUUUAACAGGAAAAGGGAUCAGCGCUCACCGGCAGCAGCAGCGCGGCUUCACUCCGCUGACUGUGAAACGGCUCACAGCGCCGCAACCCCCCUCCACGCUCCGGAGCCCCUUACGAGGCUCCUUCUGCAGUUGGAGGGCUGCUCUUGGCGCCCGCCGAGCCUCAGGACCCCAGGCUCUUGCUGCCUGGGGUUUUUCUCGUUGGGUCUCCGCUUCGCCGUAGCGGACGACCCGAUUUCAGCGGAGCUUCCUCUCCCGUCGGGAGAAGACCGCCAUUGCCGUUCGCGCCGCCCCCCGGAAGCCCCUGCCGCCAUUUCCUUUCCUUUCCUUGUUUAAGGUUUUUUCUUCCUCUUUGUCCAUCAGGAAAAUCAAAGACACAAAGCAAAGGGGGGAGGAUAGGAGGAGGAUGACUACAGCAUGAAAUAGCUAGUGCUCAGCACUUGUGUUAUCAACAGCCAGUGCAGAAUCCCUGGCGUGGUCUGAAAGCGCAUGAUGCACCAAUAUUGUGGAAGCCGGACUGGAUCAGCUCUGUGUCCAGAUGGGAGGCUGUACCAUGUGAAAACCUGUCCUCCAGUUUCUCAAACAUUUUGCUCACCUAUGAAGAAGGCUUCCACUUUUCCGACAACUUCUCAAGGUGCUUCAGGAUUGCUUCCAGUGGAUGCAGGACUGAGCUUAAUUGCAACAUAUCCAUGGAUAGUUUCUUCCCAAUAAAUAUUCCUUCAGGACUCUGCA